CUGGGACAUUCAGCAGAGGCCUCAGAAGGGUCACACUUUAGAGGCAGGUCUAGACUAGCCCUAGAUUACAGCUAUUCCAAAUCCACUCUAACAGAGCUUAGAAGCAAACCUCAAAAGGAUCAGGAUGAUUGGCAAGUAACUUAAGUCUGCCAAAACACCCUCAAAAGGAAGACAGCACACCCCAGCAUUCAACAACUAUAAAAUUCACAAUGCCCAGCAUCCGCUCAAAAGUCACUAGACCGACAAAGCAGCAGGAGCUGAAAGGGACCAAGUCAGAGCAGAAGCUCUCUCGUGUCCUCACUGCCAGUCCCUCUUAGGAAUCUUGUAUAUUGCCUGGCAUGUAGCUAUGUGGUGUCCAUCAUGGGCAGAAGGAGACCCCUGCCAAGGAUUCACGCUCAUGACCAGCAACUGCGGGCACAAGCAGAGCGACAGGCAGUGAACUUCGUGGUGCAAGACAGCUCAGAGCCAGCACCUCUGUGUGGAGGCACCGUGAGAGCUGUGGC
rnacentral:sRNA from 1 species